rnacentral:lncRNA from 1 species
AUGAGAAACCGAAACCCAGGGCUCACACGGCAAACGCUGCAGUCAGGACUUGCGCCCACCCUGUCUGGCUCUGGAGCCAUGAUGCUGGUGCGUGCAGUGGGCCGUGGUGAGGUGUGCGUGGCCCAGCCUCCGCCAAGCAUCACGGAGGUAGGGAGGCCCGCGAAGCCAGGGGCCAGUCUCCCCUCUCAGCCUUUGUUCCUUCUCUCUAUCCUGAAUUCCCUCUCCACCCCAGCUGUCCAAAUCCUGCCUCCCCACGGCACGGGUAACGCCAAGCUGCUCGGGCGUGAGGACGGCACUGUCUCCCCACUGGAUUUCUCCUCACAAGAACCGAACUUCAACGUUCUGUCUUCAGGGCUGGGUGACAGAGCAGGUCCCUUGGUGGCUGCCUUGGGGAGCCCUGGGCGACGAGGACAUCUUAGACUGCUAGGGCCCUCAGAUUUUCCCGAGCGAAUCUCUCGCUGCACACGGGAAGAAACAGGCCCAGGGAGGUUGGGAGAAACCCACGGAAGCAGCUGGGUUCAGAACCCGGAAGUCUGGACUCCCACAAUGAUGUGGCUAAAAGAACACUGUUGGCUCUGGAGCCAGACGGAGCUCAGACCCCAGCUUCUGUGUGACCUGGGCAAAGUCGCCGCCUCUCUGAACUCCAUUUGCCUCAUCCGUGGAAUGGGCAGUUACAGUGCCUGCCUCUCAGGGCCCUUGGUGGAGCUCCAGCACAGGGCAGAGCCACAAGGCGUGGUCUGUGCACACAGGGGGCCCUCACUGGAUCUGUGGGCUGGGAGGCGGCGCUGCCUGCAGGCCCAGCAGGCCCUCGGGGUCUCCUCUCCCACCCCAGUGCACACUGCUUCCCUUCAGAACAGCCGAGAGACAAAAAGAAAUGGAAGUUGCCGUGACCUUGGGUUGGAGGUGGCGAGAGUCCCUCUUGGUCAGGGUGCUGCCGGCUCCCUCUCGCUCUCCCUGACGCCCGGGGCCACUGUAUCUCCCCAGUUUCUGCCUCAGGCUGGCAUGGGAGUGGGCUUGGCUGGAGCCACGUCAGAGCUCGUUCACAUGCUCCGGGCAAGAGCAGGAGAGCAACGGGAAUGA